ACUUCCUUCUGCCAUUUUGCAAUCGAACAAAUCCUUAGUUACCUCAUAACGUUCGGACCUUGUUGCUGAUACAAAGCUUUGAUAGCUUUGCUGUCUAGAAUAUUAUCUUGGAGCUAAACACUUUGUUUCAGCAGUAAGCAAGGUUUGAACUAAGGCCUUGUUCGAUUGCAAGAUGACAGGUUAGUUC